rnacentral:rRNA from 1 species
AGUGAACGCUGGCGGUACGCCUAACACAUGCAAGUCGAACGGUAGCACAGUAAGAGCUUGCUCUUACGGGUGGCGAGUGGCGGACGGGUGAGGAAUACAUCGGAACCUACUUUUUCGUGGGGGAUAACGUAGGGAAACUAUCGCUAAUACCGCAUAAGACCUACGUGUGAAAGCAGGGGAUCUUCGGACCUUGCGCGAUUGAAUGAGCCGAUGUCGGAUUAGCUAGUUGGCGGGGUAAAGGCCCACCAAGGCGACGAUCCGUAGCUGGUCUGAGAGGAUGAUCAGCCACACUGGAACUGAGACACGGUCCAGACGCCUACGAGAGGCAGCAGUGGGGAAUAUUGGGCAAUGGGCGCAAACCUUAUCCAGCCAUACCGCGUGGGUGAAGAAGACCUUCGGGUUGUGAAGCCCUUUUGUUGGGAGAGAAAAGCAGCAGGUUAAUACCCCGCUGUUCUGACGGUACCCAAAGAAUAAGCACCGGCUAACUUCGUG